rnacentral:rRNA from 1 species
GCAAGUCGAACGGGAAACCUUUUAAAGAAGCUUCGGCAGAUUUAGCUGGUUUCUAGUGGCGGACGGGUGAGUAACGCGUGGGUAACCUGCCUUGUACAGGGGGAUAACAGUCAGAAAUGACUGCUAAUACCGCAUAAGCGCACAGGACCGCAUGGUCCGGUGUGAAAAACUCCGGUGGUAUAAGAUGGACCCGCGUUGGAUUAGCUGGUUGGUGGGGUAACGGCCUACCAAGGCGACGAUCCAUAGCCGGCCUGAGAGGGUGAAC